rnacentral:pre_miRNA from 2 species
UAUCAGAGUCUUGGGUCCUUGUGUAGAUGCUUUGAGACUUCAAGGAUCCCUGACUUGAUCA